GCCACCGCUUCUACUUAUUUUCAAUGAAGACCCUGAUGUUUGCCUUCGCUUUCGUUGUCCUGCAUUGGAGCCGCGGUUGGCCGCUAUGCAACCCGCAAGGGCGUGAUUCCUCGCUUUAGGAGGGCGACGGUGAGAGGCAGCCAGGGCGGCAGCAUCGUCUACUGUCACCUUGUAGCUGGCGGCUCACCACAAUGCAACAAGUUUUGGAAUAUGCAUUAGAUCGAGCUGAGUACAUUGUGGAAAGUGCUCGCCAGCGUCCUGCUAGGAGACGUCUUUCCUCUGGUGGCAGGAAGAGUUUGUAUCAGAAGCUCUAUGAGCUCUACAUAGAGGAAUGUGAGAAGGAGCCAGAGUUGAAGAAUUUCAGGAGGAACGUGAAGCUGCUGGACAAGUUGCUGUCUCAGGAGUCUGUUUCGUGUCUGGUGGUCAACUUGUACGCAGGCAACGACGGUUACUCGCUCAUGCUCAGGGGCAAGAAUGGUUCUGAUUCUGAAACGAUCCGACUGCCGUAUGAAGAAGGAGAGCUGCUGGAGUAUUUGGAUGCUGAAGAGCUGCCGCCUGUUCUGGUUGACCUGUUGGAAAAGUCCCAGGUGAACAUCUUCCACUGCGGCUGCGUCCUGGUGGAGGUGCGAGAUUACAGGCAGUGUGCCAACACCAAGAUGCCCUCGUACCAGAGCAGACACGUGCUGCUCAGGCCCACCAUGCAGACUCUCGUUUGUGACGUCCACGCCAUGACCAGUGACCACCACAAGUGGACACAGGACGACAAGUUGCAGCUGGAGAGCCAGCUGAUCUUGGCCACGGCCGAGCCUCUGUGCCUGGAUCCUUCCAUCUCCGUCACCUGUGCCGCCAACCGGCUGCUCUACAACAAGCAAAAAAUGAACACCCGCGCCAUGAAGCGGUGCUUCAAGAGGCACUCUCGGGCAGCGCUGAACCGCCAGCAGGAGCUGUCGCAGCUGCCCACGCCAUGCCAGCUGCGCCUCUACGACUACCUACAGAAGAGGAAGGAGCGGAAAUCCACGCCCGUCAUCGACCUGAAGAUCUCCAAGAUCGGAAAUUGCGUGGACAUGUGGCGACAGAACAGCUGCCAGCUCAGUGUGCCCAAAGAAAUCGACGUGGAGAAGUACGCUGUGGUGGAGAAAUCGCUGCAGUUGGAAGAUUCUCAGCCCACCACUGUGAUCUGGCCCGCUGAGGAGGUCGUGGACGAUUACACCUUUGAGUGCGAGGUGGGCGGUCAGGCCCAGAGGACCAAGGUGUCCAUCUUCCAGUCGCUGGGCGACCCACUGGUGUACGGCAAGAUCUACUGCACCAAAGACGUCAAGGCCGAGGAGGACGGCACUGACCUGAAGCUCACCCAUCCGCCGUUCCUCAUUGGCUCCAAGAUGGACGCCGAACGGUUCCUCGCGCAGUACAAAUGCGUGUAUGAGCGAGAUGUCAAGUGUCAGGUCAAGAUGUCCCACAACUCAGGCAGCCUGGCGCCGGCGCCCCCCUCCCCGAGCAAGGAUGAGGGUGACGCCUUUUCUUCGCUGGUCCAGACGUCCGUGUUGGGCAAAGGGGUGAAGCACCGGCCGCAGCCCAUCAAAAUGCCGCCGGGAUCAGGCAGCAGCUCCUCAGGUAAUCCAUAUAGCUCCCAAACCACAAGUGGUCUUCUCAAGUGUCCUACGCCGCCGCCCCCCGCCAAAGGCCAGCAGCCUCUGAACAGGAAACACUCCAUGGAGCUGGGACAGGUGGGCCUGCUGUCCCCCGCCUCGCUUUCGCCCAUGAGCUCCACGCAGAGAUCGGGCACCCCGAAGCCUUCCACCCCCACCAACACACCGUGCUCCACGCCGCACCCCGCCGAUUCGCUGGGGGCCCUCUCGGGGACACCCACCACCCCAGAGGCCUCAGCGCAGCCCGCCCUUCUCACGCCUUUCGCCCAACAACAGCUCGCCCUCAGCCAGCCGGUGCCUGUCAUGACCAUACCGCUGCCCACCGUGGGCACGUCCAUCAGCACAGGCACCACGUCGUCGCCCGUCAUGGCCAACCCGGCCGGCCUCAACUUCAUCAACGUGGUCAGCUCCGUCUGCAACCCUCAGACGCUGAUGACCGGCUCCAACCCCUUGCUCGGUCCCGGACUGAAUCUGAGCGGAAUCCUGCCGUCUGGAGGCCUCAUGCCCUCCAUGCAGCCCGCCGUGCAGACUGGGAGUCACUUUGGCCUGAAUAGCAGUGCCGGGCUGCGACCGCUCAACUUACUGCAGAUCCCGACCGGGCCCCUCAUCUUCAACCCCAUGCAGCAGCAGCAGCUCUCCCAGUUCUCCCCGCAGAGCCAGUCUGCCACUUCCAGCCCUCAGCAGCAGGGGGACACAGGUGAUCAGGGCGCCGAUCCGAGUUUAGGGAACCAGCAAACGGCUGUGAUCAACUUGGGCGUGGGUGGCUUCAUGUCUCCGCAGGCGGCAGUGCUGUCCCAGUUGGGCUGUGGGCUGGACGGGUCUGGGCCCCCGCUGCCUUCUCCAAGGCUUCAGCAGCAGCACCAGCCUCAGAUCCAAUUGCAAUUCUUGCAACACCAAAUGCAGCAGCAGCAAAUGGCUAUGGCGGCAGCACCCCAGGGGGGGGGAGCGGCGGCGGCGGCGGGGGGCCGGCAGCAUACCGUCAACCAAGCAAGAAAUAGGAGGAAAAGGAGCACGCCACAGCCGCUCCCCAAACCUCGCCAGGCAGCGGAAACGUUGCCCCCUGCCACGCCGAGACGCGAAUGAUCCACACUGUGCUCCUGAAAGGAACCUUGCUCAUAUUUUUUACAUCCACAGAAGAAGAAAGUCCGUGUAGCUGAAUAUUUCCUACCCACCCCCCAAAAGGCUUUUCCUCCAAUGGGGGUGAGGGGGGGGCGCCUGGGAGGAUUCCUCGCUGCACAUCUUCCCGCAGAAUAAUCUGAUCCUGGGGGGGGCCGCCGUCUACCUCUCGAGCAACUUUUGUACGCCGGCGCUGGAUUUGGAGCUGGAAGCCCUUCACCAAUUGGCCGACCUUUUACAGUUAAAAAUGUCCGCCAAUUGCUGGUACAGGCUGAAAUUCUGAGGUUCUCCAAGUCGACGUGUCAAAGCUACGACGAUCCUGACCUGGUUUGUGCAUGGAGCACAGACGUCCUUCCUCGUCCGUCACCACGGUGAGGCGAGCGGUGGCCAAUUGCUCCUCUUCGGCCGUGGGGUCAGCCAUGAGGAUGGACCUGCGAGAGACAAAAUGGGCGUUGCGCGUGAGGACGAAGACGACAUUUCGACGGAAAGAAAAGUUUGGACUCACUCGUCAAAGACGCAAAAAGAGGCGGCGACGGGAUGCUUGAGAAUCUUCAACCCGCGACGCUUUUCCAGGUCCACCUCCGGCACGCCAGUCUCUGCGCUGAAGGAGACCUUGGGGAGUGCAGCUGUUUGGGCGAAGAUGACGGUGAAGAGUCGACGACGACAGGUGAAAUGAACGGGAUCGGAUGUACGUACUGUUCUUCAGGGCGGCCAGCAGCGCCAGCACACACGUGUCCAACACGUUGCCGUCGUGGUCCAGACACAUCAGGUCGCAGUACAACGACCAGCACAGCUACAGGAACAACACCACAACUUUAAAUGUAACGCCGAAAGACUGAGGCCUGACUGAUAAGGAUUUAUUUAGGCUGUUGUCGAUUCCAAUGGCCGAUUAAUUUAAAAAAUAUAUAAGGAAUAACCUGACUUAUUUUGGUCCCUUAUUGCUUUCAACAACAUGAAUAACAUGCAGAACAUUUGACUGUUUUACAAUACUUUGUCCUUUAGUAUCUCUUUAAAUUAACACAGGAAUCUACAAGUACCAAAACAUGCUAAAAAGAUGUAACUGAUGAAUUUAUCUUUAGAUUUAAGCCAUAAAUGUAUGCAAUACAUAAGCAACAUAAUGAGCAAAGUUACUGGCAAAACAUUAAUGCAUGAUGCAUCACAUUUCAUCUACUCCAUUAAUGGUUUUCUUUGUCAUGAAGUGAUGACUUCAAAAUAGGGCGCCAACAAAAUUAGCAUUUUUUCAAUCAAUCAAGCACCAACUAAUACACCCAAAACUAAAAUAUUAAACUUUUUUUUUGUAUAUUAUAGCAAGUGCGUUUUAUGAUUACUUACUUAUCGAGCAAUUCAUGAGUUUUACCCCCCAUUGUGUCUCACCUUGCCUCUUUCGAUGCACAAAUCCUCCAUCUGCAACACUUCUGAGCUGCAGUGACAAACAAAAAAAGUUCAGAUGUAAGAGAAGUGUGUGUUAAAAUGUAUUUUAAUUUUUAUUUUUUAUAUACAUACGCACCUCCCGAUGACCUCGGCCACAAACUGACUGGCAGCCUGGGCCUGCUCCCCCGGUGGGCCAGGUCGGAACUGUGAAGAGCACAGCGGCGGCAGGUCCACGUUGGGCACUGGAAAUGUGUUGACUGAUCAAAAAAAUAAUAAAUGCAAAUAUGACUUCUA